AAAUUGAAGAGUUUGAUCAUGGCUCAGAUUGAACGCUGGCGGCAGGCCUAACACAUGCAAGUCGAACGGUAACAGGAAGCAGCUUGCUGCUUUGCUGACGAGUGGCGGACGGGUGAGUAAUGUCUGGUAAUGUCUGG
rnacentral:rRNA from 1 species